rnacentral:rRNA from 1 species
UAUGGCUCAGAUUGAACGCUGGCGGCAGGCCUAACACAUGCAAGUCGAGCGGAUGAAAGGAGCUUGCUCCUGAAUUCAGCGGCGGACGGGUGAGUAAUGCCUAGGAAUCUGCCUGGUAGUGGGGGACAACGUUUCGAAAGGAACGCUAAUACCGCAUACGUCCUACGGGAGAAAGCAGGGGACCUUCGGGCCUUGCGCUAUCAGAUGAGCCUAGGUCGGAUUAGCUAGUUGGUGAGGUAAUGGCUCACCAAGGCGACGAUCCGUAACUGGUCUGAGAGGAUGAUCAGUCACACUGGAACUGAGACACGGUCCAGACUCCUACGGGAGGCAGCAGUGGGGAAUAUUGGACAAUGGGCGAAAGCCUGAUCCAGCCAUGCCGCGUGUGUGAAGAAGGUCUUCGGAUUGUAAAGCACUUUAAGUUGGGAGGAAGGGUUGUAGAUUAAUACUCUGCAAUUUUGACGUUACCGACAGAAUAAGCACCGGCUAACUCUGUGCCAGCAGCCGCGGUAAUACAGAGGGUGCAAGCGUUAAUCGGAAUUACUGGGCGUAAAGCGCGCGUAGGUGGUUUGUUAAGUUGGAUGUGAAAUCCCCGGGCUCAACCUGGGAACUGCAUCCAAAACUGGCAAGCUAGAGUAUGGUAGAGGGUGGUGGAAUUUCCUGUGUAGCGGUGAAAUGCGUAGAUAUAGGAAGGAACACCAGUGGCGAAGGCGACCACCUGGACUGAUACUGAC